UUGGAAUUUGUUUUCCUCAUAUACUUCCUU
rnacentral:piRNA from 1 species